CAGUGUGAAGAAGAAGAGGCGAGAGUGACCCCCGGACCGACCAAAGCCCACGCGCCGCUGCAUCCCGCGCUCAGCGCCUACGUUUCGCCGCCAUCGCCACCAUGCCCAAGAGAAAGGCUGAAGGGGAUGCUAAAGGAGAUAAAGCCAAGGUGAAGGACGAGCCACAGAGAAGAUCUGCGAGGUUGUCUGCUAAACCUGCUCCUCCAAAGCCAGAGCCCAAGCCUAAAAAGGCCCCUGCAAAGAAGGGAGAGAAGGUACCCAAAGGGAAAAAGGGAAAAGCUGAUGCUGGCAAGGAAGGGAAUAACCCUGCAGAAAAUGGAGAUGCCAUAACAGACCAGGCACAGAAAGCCGAAGGUGCUGGAGAUGAUAAGUGAAGUGUGUGCAUUUUUGAUAACUGUGUACUUCUGGUGACUGUACAGUUUGAAAUACUAUUUUUUAUCAAGUUUUAUAAAAAUGCAGAAUUUUGUUUUACUUUUUUUUUUUUUUU